GCAGUGGUCAUAUGCAGCAUCUGUGCCAGUGAGAAGGAAGUUUUCGAUAUUACUGGGCCAUACCGCAUCGACUACCAGGCCACAAAGAAUCUUAUCGAUGCAGCAAAUGUGGCAAAGGUUAACCACUUUAUUUUGGUUUCAUCUUUGGGAACAAAUAAAGUUGGAUUUCCUGCAGCUAUUCUCAAUUUUUUUUUUUUGGGGGGGGGGGGGUCCUCGUCUGGAAGAGGAAAGCAGAAGAAGCGCUCAUCGCAAGUGGUCUUCCCUACACCGUAAGCACAUCUAGAAAUACCUGCAAAUUUAGUAG